AUUGAACGCUGGCGGCAGGCCUAACACAUGCAAGUCGAACGAGUGGCGGACGUGUGAGCAAUGUCUGGGCAACUGCCUGCUGGAGGGGGACAACUACUGGAAACGGUUGCUACUACCGCAUACCAUCAGAUGUGCCCACGUGGGAUUAGCUAGUUGGUGGGGUAACGGCUCACCAAGGCGACGAUCCCUACCUGGUCUGAGAGGAUGACCAGCCACACUGGAACUGAGACACGGUCCAGACUCCUACGGGAGGCAGCAGUGGGGAAUAUUGGACAAUGGGCGAAAGCCUGAUGCAGCCAUGCCGCGUGUAUGAAGAAGGCCUUCGGGUUGUAAAGUACUUUCAGUGGGGAGGCGUUACCGGCAGAAGAAGCACCGGCUAACUUCGUGCCAGCAGCCGCGGUAAUUC
rnacentral:rRNA from 1 species